CGAAUUUUAAUUCAAUUUUAAUCCCUAAAUAAAUUUCAAACCGAAGUAGAACCGAAAAUUCUACUAUUUAGGGAAAGGGAAAAAGGAUAAAGGCACAAAGACGGAGAGAGUGAGCUUUUAUGCAUGCACAAAAAACUGCUUUUUCCUACUAAAAUUCAAUCAUAGCUUCACCUUCCUCUUCCUCCACAAGCACUUUUACAAAUCCGCAAAUCACGGUCAAAAUCACCACCACUAAUUACCCACCACCAUGUGUCCAAUCUCAUCUACACUCACUUACCUUCUAAACCUCCCAUUGGUCACACCACCCCAACUCUAACAUUCUACGUCAAUCUCCACUCACUUGCCGCCACGUCAUCCUAACAUCUUGAUCUAAUGAUCUUUCUACCAUGGAAUCACCACCCAAAACGGAAAAUGGAAAGUUCUUCGCUGUUUCGGUUGCUCACUGAGUGGACUGUGGACCAGGGUUGUCUCGCUCUUUUUGAGGUCCGAGUUGGUGACUCGGACCGCAAGCGCCAUCAUCACACACAAACUCUGAAAUUGCAUUUUCAUCAUGGCUUUCCCUUUUGACCCUUUAAAACCCAUCUUUCUCUUUUGUUUGCCACCAUCACUGAAGCUUCAAUUUCGUUUCUUUCUGCAAUGGCGGAUUAUCCGGAUUCUGUCGCUGAACAGGUACCUGGCACUCCCGGAAUCCGGGAAGUGAGGUCCGAUAUGGGGCCGGAGAGUUUCGGGAUUUGCGCCCAACAGAAUGGCGGGAACCAAGGGACGAGGAAGGUGGGCUUGCGAGCAGAGAUUGAUACGUCGCCGCCGUUCGGGUCAGUCAAGGAGGCUGUGACUCGGUUUGGAGGAAGUGGGUCUUGGAUUCCCUAUUACAAGGGCUUUGAGGAGAUGGACAUAAAGAAAGUUGAGGAACAGGCAGCAGAAUUGGAGAAGGAUCUUAUUGUGAAAGAAUUGGAAACGCUUGAUGUUCUUGAAGAACUUGGAACUACAAAAAGAAUCGUUGAAGAUUUAAAGCUGCAGCUACAGAAAGAAGCACUGAGAUGUAUGACAAUCCCAGAUGAGCAGAUGUCAAGUCCUGCUAUCAAAGAAAUGAACAAGGAAAAUUGUAGCUUUCAUGUCAACAACCGAGAGCAGAGGAUGGGAAAUUUGAGCCCUUGCCCUUCGUCGUCCCCUGACUUGAUCUUAAUGGAAUUGAAGCAAGCAAAACUUAACCUUGGUAAAACUAUUAAUGAUCUUGGAGUCAUUCAAACUUCUGUUGAGUCUUUGAAUAAGAAAAUGAAGAAAGAGAAAACCUUUCUUGAGAAAACCCGAGAGAGGCUAACGUCAAAAUUUGCAGGGGUGUUGUCUUUGGAGGAGGAGCUAAAACAGGCAAGAGUGAAACCAUGUAUUGCAGACAGUGCAGUAACUGAUUACAAGGCAGAGCAGUUGAAGAAAAUGGCCGAAGCUGAGAAGUCAGAAGUUUCAAAAGCAAUUUUAGCGAAUGAACAAACCAAGACAAAUUUAAGGACUGCUGAAUUGAGGUUGCUUGCAGCCAAAAAAAUGGAGGAAGCAGCAAGGGCAGCAGAAGCUGUUGCCUUAGCUGAAAUCAAGGCUCUAUCAAGCAAUGAGAACUCAUCGGGAUUUGUAUUGCCAGAGCCCGAGAAAGUAGCCUCAUUUGAAGCACGAACUCCAUUGACCCCUAAAGCUCAAAAAGGGCUUGCCAAGAAAGUGGAGGUUGCAAAGCUCCAAAAGCGUGAAGCUAAUAUGACUAAAAUGUCUAUUCUAACGAAAUUGAGGGAUGCAACAGAAGAAGUAAAACAAAGUAAACAUGCCUUAGAAGAAGCUUUGAACAAAGUUGAAAUGGCAAAUAGAAAGCAAUUUGCUGCGGAAGAGGCUAUUCGCAAAUGGAUGCCAGAGAAUGAUCAGGAGGGACAGGCAGCAUAUUACGCAACUAGGCUUAAUAGUUUCCAAAUGCUUCAACCUGAUAACCAUCAAGAUUCUCCACUAAAUGAAAUGAGGAAUUCCAAUCUAGCUAAUGAUGAUCCAAAGCCUGUUUUAAGAUCAACAGUUUCAAUGCGGGAUGUACUCAGCAGGAAGCAAGUUAUGCCUGAAGAAUAUGUAAUGGCAAGGCCGACAGAAGGCCGUGAAGAACGACAGAAGGUCGCUUUGAGUCAAAUGCUUCAUGAACUGAGAGAGGAUCUAACAUUUCAUCCCAGAGCUGAGAAAGAUGGAAGUGAUCAAAAGCAGUUGUUUGCACAAAGGAGAAAGUUCGGGUUCAUUCACAUAUCAUUGCCUAUGACAAAACCAAGUAAGAAAAAGACACGAGAUUUCAAUAAUGUGAUGCAUUAGACAGAAGAAUGUUUUGUGAUUGUGCAGUGAAAUUUUCUUUCCUUUAUUGCCUUUGUAUUGGUGUUGAGUUAUGGUUAUAGCUUGCCCAUGUUGUUUGUGUCCUUUGUGGUUUUGUUUAGAUACUCUUUCCUUGUGAAGAUGUAUUGUGUGUGGUUCUUCUAUAUCCAUAGCCUGUACUUAGCCCUUGGUCUGAGCUGUGGUCUACUAUAAUUUGCCCAUGAUUGAAUUGGAAAUGUGGUAGCUUUUCACUCUCUUAUAUUGUGAGUUGAGUUCUUUAUGAUAUAGGAUUAUGAGUCCAUCUUAUUUAUCUUAUUUUUGAUUCUG
rnacentral:misc_RNA from 1 species